rnacentral:rRNA from 1 species
CGCAUCACUGGUGUUCGGGUUGUCAUGCCAAUGGCACUGCCCGGUAGCUAAAUGCGGAAGAGAUAAGUGCUGAAAGCAUCUAAGCACGAAACUUGCCCCGAGAUGAGUUCUCCCUGACUCCUUGAGAGUCCUGAAGGAACGUUGAAGACGACGACGUUGAUAGGCCGGGUGUGUAAGCGCAGCGAUGCGUUGAGCUAACCGGUACUAAUGAACCGUGAGGCUUAACCUUACAACGCCGAAG